GAUGAAGAACGUAGCAAAAUGCGAUACUUGGUGUGAAUUGCAGAAUCCCGUGAACCAUCGAGUUUUUGAACGCAAGUUGCGCCCGAAGCCUUUUGGCCGAGGGCACGUCUGCCUGGGCGUCACGCAUCGCGUCGCCCCCCACAAAUUCUCCGUCAGGGGAGCUUGUGUUUCGGGGGCGGAUACUGGUCUCCCGUGCUCAUGGCGCGGUUGGCCGAAAUAGGAGUCCCUUCGAUGGACGCACGAACUAGUGGUGGUCGUAAAACCCUCGUCUUUUGUUUCGUGCCGUUAGUCGCGAGGGAAGCUCUUCAAAAACCCCAACGCGUCGUCUCUUGACGGCGCUUCGACCGCGACCCCAGGUCAGGCGGGACUACCCGCUGAGUUUAAGCAUAUCAAUAAGCGGAGGA
rnacentral:misc_RNA from 1 species